GACGAACGCUGGCGGCGUGCUUAACACAUGCAAGUCGAACGGAAAGGCCCUGCUUUUGUGGGGUGCUCGAGUGGCGAACGGGUGAGUAACACGUGAGUAACCUGCCUUUGCCUUGGGAUUAACUCAAGGAAAUUGGGCUUAAUCCCGGAAAGGAGCCCCGCCGGAAGGGGGGGGGUGGGAAGGUUUCGGCGGUUGGGGAUGGACUCGCGGCUUAUCAGCUUGUUGGUGGGGUAGUGGCUUACCAAGGCUUUGACGGGUAGCCGGCCUGAGAGGGUGACCGGCCACAUUGGGACUGAGAUACGGCCCAGACUCCUACGGGAGGCAGCAGUGGGGAAUAUUGCACAAUGGGCGGAAGCCUGAUGCAGCAACGCCGCGUGCGGGAUGACGGCCUUCGGGUUGUAAACCGCUUUCGCCUGUGACGAAGCGUGAGUGACGGUAAUGGGUAAAGAAGCACCGGCUAACUACGUG
rnacentral:rRNA from 1 species